UCGCGAAUUCCUUCAGUGCUUUCCAAAAACUCCAAAAAAUUUCUGUAAUACAAUAAUUUACCAUUAUAUUUACCUAUAAUUAUAUAUAUUUUUCAUCAGGAUUGCAAGCUGAAUCCGAAUCCGUUGACAUGAGGGAAAAAUUCACAAAUGAUAAAAAAAUUGGUGUGCAAUUUUUGGUCCACCAGUGGCCAGAGGGCCUUAAUGACAAGGGUUCGGCCGCCAGGUAAAGGCCCGGCGUGGACACAAUGGGAACAAUACCCCGGUGAGCUCAGCGCUGACCCAGCGGCUUCUCGCCGGGAUCCGACGUUGCAAUUCUCGGCUCGUGAUAUGCCCGAAUUUUUACUCUGUCUAAUAGGUUUGCACGGACUAUAAAACACAUCUUUCUUUUGACAGUUUUUAUUUUUCUAACUUUUAGAAUUGCCCAAAUUUCAGCUCUGAAUUUGUCUCGCAUGGAGAGGAAAAAUCAUGGAAGAGUUUAAGAAUUGACGUUGUGUAGUUCUCCAUCUGAAUAAUAAAGUAUGACAGGAAAUCUACAACGUUGCAAACUGAGAUACGUCGUUUGGGAGCCGUCAAUAUGGAUGCAAAAUUUGAUUGUGAAAGUAUUUGAAAUAUCUCCAAAUUUACACCCUGUAUGAAGAUGCAAAAUUUAAGGAAAGAAAAUUAAUUGCAGUUUUCCCCUGGUUAAACUCUUGAAGUUAUCCCAAAUUAUUAUGUAUGCAAAUUUGUAAACAUAUACCUGACCCACAAAAAAAUGAGGUUAAGGGAUUUUGAAAAAUGUCAAAAAUUUUGGAUUUUAUCAAAUGGUCCUUUGACUAUGAAAUCGUGCUCAUGAGCUCUGUAGACCUACCCUAAGUAUGUUUUUUUAUAGAAUUUACAGGUUGAACCGUUAAAAACAGACCACUUUUGUAGCCAUUUAAUAUUUCAGACUGUAAACCUCUGUUAUUUUUGUGUUUAAAGUGGUAUAGUCUUUGAUUGUAGCUCCAAACCAAUUUAAUAUUGUUUUUUUUAAAGAUCAUGUCCUCAAUUCUUGUACGUAUAAUUGAGAGUGAUUUGUUUUCACAGAGUGAGUUGUUGUCUAGUUUUUUAUGAUCCUCGCUUUUGUUUCUUGGUUCUGCACCUGCAAAACCUCCCCAGAUAAUUUAAAACCAUAUCAGUUUAUUUUAAAUAAAAUCUAUGAUUCUAUCAUUUGAA